rnacentral:lncRNA from 1 species
AUGGCCCAGGGGGCGCGUGGGGAGGGACGCGCGGGCCGGUGGCGAGGCCAGGAGAGGAGGCCCCGGGGUGCCGGGACGGUGCCGCACGGGGCGCAGAGGGCACACGCGGGGCGCCGGGCCCCGGGGCUCCAGGCCAGCACAGGCGUUGCUCAGACCACGCUCCUGGUCCUGGAUGGUCCACGGGAACUAACCGAGGACGCACAGGCAGCCGGCCCCGCGCGGCAGGCGGCGGCGCCCGUCCUCACCGGCUCCGGCUCCGGGCCCGCUCCGCUGGUGGUCAUAAACGCCGUCCUCCCCGCGGGGCACAGGCGCGGCGGCUCGCGGCUCCUCGCGGCUCCUCGCGGCUCCUCGACCCCGGCCGGCCGCUCUGCGCGUCGGAGCCUUCGCGGGAAGCGCUGUCCCUUUAGGAAUAAACGCCCGGUUACAGCGCCCGGCGCCGCGGGGCCCCGCCGACCCGGCCGCGACCCGGAGGCAGUUGGACGUGCGCGCCCGGGAGGCCCCCGCCCGCCCCCGCCCGGGCCGCGUCCCCGCGCGCCUCCCCGGCGCCUCCCGGGCUCCUCCCCGCCCCGCCCCGGCCCGCCGCGCGCCCCGGGGAAGCUCGGCCCGGCCGCCCGGGGCCGCCGCGGCCAUCUUACCUGGCGGAGCCCGCCUCCCGCGCUGCGCGGUCUCCACGGCCGCUCGCGGGGCCGGGCCGAGCCGGGAGGGCGGCGGGGCGCGGGGGACGCGCGGCGGAGGCGGGAGCCGCGGCGGCGGCGGGGGCGGGGGCGGGGGCGGGGAGCGGGAGGGCAGACGCACCGGCGGCCGCCCCUCCAGGCACCUCCCGCGAGACCGCGCGAGCGCAGGCCCCGAGCCGGCAGCCAAUCAGGGGCCCCCGCGAGGGGGCGGGGCGCGGCGGCCGCCCGGAAGCGCGGGACUCGGGCUUCCGUCCUUGCGCAGAACGGCGCUCGCGGCGCCCUCGCUCUACGGGUUGGCGCGAGAGUCAAAAGGCGUCGGCCGACCCCGGGCAAGAUGGCCGCCGUCGAGGUGUCGUUGUGGGGGAACUUCGCGCCGCGAUGGCGACAUCUAGGCUGA